rnacentral:rRNA from 1 species
CCUACGGGGGGCUGCAGUGGGGAAUAUUGGACAAUGGGGGGAACCCUGAUCCAGCCAUGCCGCGUGUGUGAAGAAGGCCCUCGGGUUGUAAAGCACUUUCAGUGAGGAAGAACGCCUGGUGGUUAAUACCCAUCAGGAAAGACAUCACUCACAGAAGAAGCACCGGCUAACUCCGUGCCAGCAGCCGCGGUAAUACGGAGGGUGCGAGCGUUAAUCGGAAUUACUGGGCGUAAAGCGCGCGUAGGUGGCUUGAUAAGCCGGUUGUGAAAGCCCUGGGCUCAACCUGGGAACGGCAUCCGGAACUGUCAAGCUAGAGUGCAGGAGAGGAAGGUAGAAUUCCCGGUGUAGCGGUGAAAUGCGUAGAGAUCGGGAGGAAUACCAGUGGCGAAGGCGGCCUUCUGGACUGACACUGACACUGAGGUGCGAAAGCGUGGGUAGCAAACAGGAUUAGAUACCCUUGUAGUC